AUGGGAGAGUUUGAUCCUGGCUCAGGACGAACGCUGGCGGCGUGCCUAAUACAUGCAAGUAGAACGCUGAAGAGAGGAGCUUGCUCUUCUUGGAUGAGUUGCGAACGGGUGAGUAACGCGUAGGUAACCUGCCUUGUAGCGGGGGAUAACUAUUGGAAACGAUAGCUAAUACCGCAUAACAAUGGAUGACACAUGUCAUUUAUUUGAAAGGGGCAAUUGCUCCACUACAAGAUGGACCUGCGUUGUAUUAGCUAGUAGGUGAGGUAACGGCUCACCUAGGCGACGAUACAUAGCCGACCUGAGAGGGUGAUCGGCCACACUGGGACUGAGACACGGCCCAGACUCCUACGGGAGGCAGCAGUAGGGAAUCUUCGGCAAUGGGGGCAACCCUGACCGAGCAACGCCGCGUGAGUGAAGAAGGUUUUCGGAUCGUAAAGCUCUGUUGUAAGUCAAGAACGAGUGUGAGAGUGGAAAGUUCACACUGUGACGGUAGCUUACCAGAAAGGGACGGCUAACUACGUGCCAGCAGCCGCGGUAAUACGUAGGUCCCGAGCGUUGUCCGGAUUUAUUGGGCGUAAAGCGAGCGCAGGCGGUUUGAUAAGUCUGAAGUUAAAGGCUGUGGCUCAACCAUAGUUCGCUUUGGAAACUGUCAAACUUGAGUGCAGAAGGGGAGAGUGGAAUUCCAUGUGUAGCGGUGAAAUGCGUAGAUAUAUGGAGGAACACCGGUGGCGAAAGCGGCUCUCUGGUCUGUAACUGACGCUGAGGCUCGAAAGCGUGGGGAGCGAACAGGAUUAGAUACCCUGGUAGUCCACGCCGUAAACGAUGAGUGCUAGGUGUUGGAUCCUUUCCGGGAUUCAGUGCCGCAGCUAACGCAUUAAGCACUCCGCCUGGGGAGUACGACCGCAAGGUUGAAACUCAAAGGAAUUGACGGGGGCCCGCACAAGCGGUGGAGCAUGUGGUUUAAUUCGAAGCAACGCGAAGAACCUUACCAGGUCUUGACAUCCCGAUGCUAUUUCUAGAGAUAGAAAGUUACUUCGGUACAUCGGUGACAGGUGGUGCAUGGUUGUCGUCAGCUCGUGUCGUGAGAUGUUGGGUUAAGUCCCGCAACGAGCGCAACCCCUAUUGUUAGUUGCCAUCAUUCAGUUGGGCACUCUAGCGAGACUGCCGGUAAUAAACCGGAGGAAGGUGGGGAUGACGUCAAAUCAUCAUGCCCCUUAUGACCUGGGCUACACACGUGCUACAAUGGUUGGUACAACGAGUUGCGAGUCGGUGACGGCAAGCUAAUCUCUUAAAGCCAAUCUCAGUUCGGAUUGUAGGCUGCAACUCGCCUACAUGAAGUCGGAAUCGCUAGUAAUCGCGGAUCAGCACGCCGCGGUGAAUACGUUCCCGGGCCUUGUACACACCGCCCGUCACACCACGAGAGUUUGUAACACCCGAAGUCGGUGAGGUAACCUUUUGGAGCCAGCCGCCUAAGGUGGGAUAGAUGAUUGGGGUGAAGUCGUAACAAGGUAGCCGUAUCGGAAGGUGCGGCUGGAUCACUCCCUUA
rnacentral:rRNA from 1 species